CGAAGCCCAUCGCCAGCCGUCCUUGGGUGGGCCGGCACCGAAACUCGGCUCCCAGUGGCAUCCCCGCUCGAGGUCCUUCUCCACCUCAUAUUCGACAGAGUUCCUGAUUUCCUCACUUCUCCUGAGAUGAAGUCUAUUGAUGAUGUGCCAAUGUGAAGCAUUGGAUUGAAGUUGCGGAUCAGGAAGCAUUUUUUAUCCCAGCAGUGGAUCGAGUACUUCUAAACACAGUUAAAGAGUAAGUGUUGGCACGAAGAAUCAUUAUAGGAAUAUAAUGAAUAUCGUGUCUUACUAUCAAGAUGAAUAACAAUCAACUCAGAUAGUGUUUGAUUAUGUUUCUCCUAAAGCUACCUGCUCAACAUCUGAACGACUCUAACUGCUGAGUACAAGUCCAGCUAUAAGGAUCAAAAACACCGUAUGGAAUUCCGAAAGGUCUUUUCCUAUACCGCGAGACCCUGUUUGGAACAUGAUAAUUUUGUGAAUCAACAACUACAUUGUUUCCUAUGAAUUUCAGCAACUACAUUGUUUCCAGUGAAAUUCAGCAACGACUACAUUUUUUCCUAUCAUCCAGGCAUACAGAGGCUUUGAUUUUUUCAAGUAUAGUUCAGAUUUUCAGGGAGCACUUCAACCCAGACAUAAACAAAGCAAAGAACUUGAUUACAAGGUACAAUCGUAACUACCAAUGCCGAGCUAUUUUUGAAUUUGACUAACACAAAGGGUGCAAUAUGUAGGU